GUAAGAAUAAAGACCAGACUAAGGGCAGUUGCAAAGAUUUCCGUGUUCGUUUCCUGUGCCCUGACACAUUCUGUACAGUGACACCUCCAAAAUGCUGGACACCAUGGUUGGAUCGAGAUAACCCCUCUGGAACCGGAGACUGGGAGACCCUCACUGAUCUGCGAAGAGAAAACCCAGGAAAGAUCUGCAAAAAUCCACUUCAAAUCCAGGUCCAAACUACAUCUGGGGCCAGUGUAGCUUCUACAGGAAAUGUUAUUGCUGUAUCUGACACAAACACUGGAUUCGUCUGUAAGAAUAAAGACCAGACUAAGGGCAGUUGCAAAGAUUUCCGUGUUCGUUUCCUGUGCCCUGACACAUUCUGUACAGUGACACCUCCAAAAUGCUGGACACCAUGGUUGGAUCGAGAUAAUCCCUCUGGAACCGGAGACUGGGAGACCCUCACUGAUCUGCGAAGAGAAAACCCAGGAAAGAUCUGCAAAAAUCCACUUCAAAUCCAGGUCCAAACUACAUCUGGGGCCAGUGUAGCUUCUACAGGAAAUGUUAUUGCUGUAUCUGACACAAACACUGGAUUCGUCUGUAAGAAUAAAGACCAGACUAAGGGCAGUUGCAAAGAUUUCCGUGUUC